GACGAACGCUGGCGGCGUGCCUAAUACAUGCAAGUAGAACGAGUGGCGGACGGGUGAGUAAUGUCUGGGAAACUGCCUGAUGGAGGGGGAUAACUACUGGAAACGGUAGCUAAUACCGCAUACCAUCAGAUGUGCCCAGAUGGGAUUAGCUUGUUGGUGGGGUAACGGCUCACCAAGGCGACGCUCCCUAGCUGGUCUGAGAGGAUGACCAGCCACACGGGAACUGAGACAAGGCCCAGACUCCUACGGGAGGCAGCAGUGGGGAAUAUUGCACAAUGGGCGCAAGCCUGAGGCAGCCAUGCCGCGUGGAUGAAGAAGGCCUUCGGGUUGUAAAGUACUUUCAGCGGGGAGGCGUUACCCGCAGAAGAAGCACCGGCUAACUCCGUGCCAGCAGCCGCGGUAAUUC
rnacentral:rRNA from 1 species